UCUCUUUUCCGUCUCCAACGCUAAUGGCGAUUGGGGUUUCUAAUACGCUCUUUCAUCUUCUUCUUCACUGUCUGAAACGAUACAUGUAACGGAGUCAUCCUCUUUAAACCCUCAAACGAUCACCCACAAUCUACAUUCAAUGCGACAAUCCCCAAAUCUCGCCUUACGUAAAUCACAAUUCUAGCGUUCUUCAUAUUAGGUCAAUCCAAAUCGGAUCGUAAGAUUUCACCACAUCUGUUCUGAACUUAGAAAGAUGUCUCAGAACGGGAAGAUGGUCCCACCAAAUAUGGAUCAGAACAGUACAAGGCUACUUAAUCUCACAGGUCUCCAGUGAAUCGAUCCUUUCAUCGAGGAGAUCCUUAUCACAACAGCUCAUGUUACCUUCUAUGAAUUCAACAUUGAGAUCAGUCAAUGGAGUCGUAAGGAUGUUGUCAAAAGAAGUAAACAACAACCUCGGUUUCAGUUUAUUGUAAUGAAUCGUUGGAACACAGAUAUUCUGGUGGAAGAUCUCCUCAGAGAUUUUGAGCAUGAAGUCCAAGGUCCAUAUUUACUUUAUCGUAACACAUCUCAAGAAGUAAAUGGCAUUUGGUUCUACAAUGAACGUGCAUAUGAGGAGGUUGCACGUCUUUUUGACGGGUACAUAUAUACACAUCACGUUGAAACUGAUUUUUGUGAUUGGAUAAUCGCGAAAAUAAAACUAGCUCCAUGACUCCAUCAUCAUACAGUUUAUACUCUCCUGUUGCAAUCCAUGACUGAACUCUCAAGUCCAAAAGAUGUUGAUGCUAGAACCGCUUGGUCACAGUGCAAUUUGAAGGAUCGAUCCUAGGUCAAUCUUAACUUCGAUACCUAUGUCUUUAUUUCAUUGUCUUCAAAAGAUGAUAUACUGACUCUUCUUAUGUCAUGUAUCUAAUUAUCUCAUUGAUUAUCACAUUAAAGACCAGCUAACUUCGUCUGCUUGGUUUUUAUAUUCAAAAGUGCCUUCUCAGAUCAAUGAAAACAUUUUUGGUUUGUUUAUGGUCACUGUAGUUCCUGCUGGGCAUAUGGUGUUGUAGAAGCAUUGGCUAACAGGUUCUGCAUCAAAUAUAAUAUGGUUUCACAAGUUUUUAAAAAAUACAAACAUUGAUUAUUGCUAGCAUUUUUCUCUCCGAAAGAUUAAUAUGGUUUCUUAUGUUCCCAUGACAGAAUGUUUCUUUAUCCGUCAAUAAUAUCGUACCAACUUAUGGAUUCCUUUGUGGUCAAGGCUGUAAUGAAAUUUUGGAUCCUAAUGGUAAACUGAUUGUCAUCUAUAGACUGUCAUAAC